ACUCCUACGGGAGGCAGCAGUGGGGAAUAUUGCACAAUGGGCGCAAGCCUGAUGCAGCCAUGCCGCGUGUGUGAAGAAGGCCUUCGGGUUGUAAAGCACUUUCAGUCGUGAGGAAGGUAGUGUAGUUAAUAGCUGCAUUAUUUGUACGUUAGCGACAGAAGAAGCACCGGCUAACUCCGUGCCAGCAGCCGCGGUAAUACGGAGGGUGCGAGCGUUAAUCGGAAUUACUGGGCGUAAAGCGCAUGCAGGUGGUUUGUUAAGUCAGAUGUGAAAGCCCGGGGCGUCAACCUCGGAAUAGCAUUUGAAACUGGCAGACUAGAGUACUGUAGAGGGGGUUAGAAUUUCAGGUGUAGCGGUGAAAUGCGUAGAGAUCUGAAGGAAUACCGGUGGCGAAGGCGGCCCCUGGACAGAUACUGACACUCAGAUGCGAAAGCGUGGGAGCAAACAGGAUUAGAUACCCCUGGUAGACUGU
rnacentral:rRNA from 1 species